GACAGAGGGUGCAACCGUUGCUCGGAAUCACUGGGCGUAAAGCGCGUGUAGGCGGUCCGGUAAGUCCGCUGUGAAAGUCGGGGGCUCAACCCUCGGAUGCCGGUGGAUACUGUCGGGCUUGAGUACGGAAGAGGCGAGUGGAAUUCCUGGUGUAGCGGUGAAAUGCGCAGAUAUCAGGAGGAACACCAAUUGCGAAGGCAGCUCGCUGGGACGUUACUGACGCUGAGACGCGAAAGCGUGGGGAGCAAACAGG
rnacentral:rRNA from 1 species